AUUGAACGCUGGCGGCAUGCUUUACACAUGCAAGUCGAACGGUAACAGGUCUUCGGAUGCUGACGAGUGGCGAACGGGUGAGUAAUGCAUCGGAACGUGCCCAGUCGUGGGGGAUAACGCAGCGAAAGCUGUGCUAAUACCGCAUACGAUCUAUGGAUGAAAGCGGGGGAUCGCAAGACCUCGCGCGAUUGGAGCGGCCGAUGUCAGAUUAGCUAGCUGGUGGGGUAAAGGCCCACCAAGGCGACGAUCUGUAGCUGGUCUGAGAGGACGACCAGCCACACUGGGACUGAGACACGGCCCAGACUCCUACGGGAGGCAGCAGUGGGGAAUUUUGGACAAUGGGCGCAAGCCUGAUCCAGCAAUGCCGCGUGCAGGAAGAAGGCCUCGGUUGU
rnacentral:rRNA from 1 species